AUUGAACGCUGGCGGCAGGCUUAACACAUGCAAGUCGAGCGGAGAUGAGGUGCUUGCACCUUAUCUUAGCGGCGGACGGGUGAGUAAUGCUUAGGAAUCUGCCAUUUAGUGGGGGACAACAUUCCGAAAGGAAUGCCAAUACCGCAUACGUCCUACGGGAGAAAGCAGGGGAUCUUCGGACCUUGCGCUAAAUGAUGAGCCUAAGUCGGAUUAGCUAGGUGGUGGGGUAAAGGCCUACCAAGGCGACGAUCUGUAGCGGGUCUGAGAGGAUGAUCCGCAACACUGGGACUGAGACACGGCCCAGACUCCUACGGGAGGCAGCAGUGGGGAAUAUUGGACAAUGGGCGGAAGCCUGAUCCAGCCAUGCCGCGUGUGUGAAGAAGGCCUUUUGGUUGUAAAGCACUUUAAGCGAGGAGGAGGCUACUAGUACUAAUACUACUGGAUAGUGGACGUUACUCGCAGAAUAAGCACCGGCCAACUCUGUGCCAGCCGCCGCGGUAAUAC
rnacentral:rRNA from 1 species